GACGUAGGGCGCGAGCGUUGUCCGGAUUUAUUGGGCGUAAAGAGCUCGUAGGCGGCUCAUUGCGUCAACCGUGAAAACCAGCAGCUCAACUGUUGGCUUGCGGUUGAUACGGGUGGGCUGGAGUUCGGUAGGGGAGACUGGAAUUCCUGGUGUAGCGGUGAAAUGCGCAGAUAUCAGGAGGAACACCGGUGGCGAAGGCGGGGUCUC
rnacentral:rRNA from 1 species